GGGUCAUUAGCUCAGUUGGUAGAGCAGUUGACUUUUAAUCAAUUGGUCGCUGGUUCGAAUCCAGCAUGACCCACCA
rnacentral:tRNA from 3 species